rnacentral:lncRNA from 1 species
UUGGAACGACUGGCUCUUGGUGCUCGCGUUCUCGUUCCCGGUGAUUCCUCUGGAUGAGGCCUUGAAGCUGGCCGGCCGAGUGUUCUUCCACAAGAAAGUCCAAGAGUAGCGAGUGACAGUUGCCUGGAUGGAAAUCACGUUAAAAACAUCCACUAGAGGUAUGCAAUAUUUUAAGUUAUCACUGUUUACCUGUGUUUGCUGAUAAACACUUUUUGUUCGGUUGAUAGAGAGCUGGUUCCCGGUGAUCACGGAAGAACCAUUAUCGUUUUAUUGACCGCGAUAUUAUUUUUCUUUGCGGAUCUGACGCUCAACGUCAAGGGGUGGCAGUCACACGCAUCAGUUAAGUUUGAAAAUUUCAGAAGAAUCUAUCAAGAAGAAACAAAAGAAUCCACAGUGAGAAGAAAAAGAGAAGGAAAAGACUGCUUACCUUAGCCGCGUCAAAGUUCCAGAGAGAGAUUGAUGCGUCGAGUAAUGCCAACAGGACUUCGUUUCUAGAAUCCUGCGAAGCUGCCGCGGUAUAAUCAUGUUCCAUAGUGCUGG